GAUAAAAAAUUCUCCGUCGAAAAGUUUGUCCGUCUAUCGAUAACUCUGAUAUUUACUAUAAAGUUUCAUAGAUCUCGAAUUGAAGAUUCGAUUCCAAUGUGAGAAAAAAUGUAAUAUUACAAGAUGUCCUGUCUCCUUCAGUUUUCAGUUUUCAGAAUUUUCAGUAGUUGAAGGUGAAGUUGGUUCGUUGUUUGUUUAUCCUCUAUUUUAUCGCGUCAUCAAGUUGAUUAUGAUUUUUGAUUGCUGAAGGUCUUAAAUUAAGACGAAGGUGGGAAUAGAACUGCAGAUACAUAUUAUACUAAAAUCCACCAUGACAGAUGAAUAUGAUGCCAAGGAUUAGAUUUGAAAAAAGUUCUUCUCCUCUCUACAUUUGAUGAAAGCCAUUUUCAGCAAAGGUGGGAAUAGAAAUGCAGACGCAUAUUAUACCAAAAUCCACCAUGACAGAUGAAUAUGCUGCCAACUACAGUUUUAGAUUUAAAACUCCUUUCUACAUCUGAUGGAAACCAUUUUCAGACCAAGAGCAGAGAGACUACGCCUCAUGAAGCUCAAAUCGAGGACGAUAGCAGUUCAAAGUAAAAAUAUAUAAUUAGUUAUAAAUUGAAAGUUCAAUUUUUGUAACAUUUAAUAAAAAUCAUUGCAUUUUAUUGAAAAUAAUGCUUUCUUA